rnacentral:rRNA from 1 species
AGCGAACGCUGGCGGCAGGCUUAACACAUGCAAGUCGAACGGAUCCUUCGGGAUCAGUGGCAGACGGGUGAGUAACACGUGGGAACGUGCCUUUUGGUUCGGAACAACUCAGGGAAACUUGAGCUAAUACCGGAUGUGCCCUUCGGGGAAGGAUUAUCGCCAUUAGAGCGGCCCGCGUCUGAUUAGCUAGUUGGUGAGGUAAAGGACUCACCAACGGCUUCGAUCAGUAGCNGGCCUGAG